AAAGAAUUAGUUAAAUUAAAACUUUAGUAUGUCAUACUAAAAUUAUUAGUCAAAAGUCUAAUAUUCUUUU
rnacentral:tRNA from 1 species